GAUGAACGCUGGCGGCGUGCCUAAUACAUGCCAGUCGAACGAACAGACGAUGAGCUUGCUCCUCUCACGUUAGCGGCGGACGUGAGAGUAACACGUGGAUCACCUACCUAUAAUACUGGUAUCACUUCGGAAAACCGGAUCUAAUCCCGUAUAAGAUAUUGCACCACAUGGUUCAAUAGUGAAAUACGGUUUUGCUGGCACUUGUGGAUGGAUCGGCGCCGAAUUAUCUGGUUGUUGGUGUAGCGGGUUACCAAGGCAACGAUGCGUAGCCGGCCUUGGAGGUGGAACGGCGACAUGGGGACUGAGAGAGGGCCCAGACGCCAACGGGAGGCAGCAGGGGGGAAUAUGGCGGAAUGGGCGGGAGCGUGAGGCAGCAACGCCGGGUGCGGGAUGACGGGUUACGGGUGGAAAACCAAUUUCGCCGGUAACAAAGCGGGAGUGACGGUAAUGGGUAAAAAAGCACCGGCUAACUACGUG
rnacentral:rRNA from 1 species